CUAACCAAUACUUAACAUAUGCACCAGAGAGUGGAAAAGGGAGCAUUACUCAACCGCACCCAGUCCUCCAAGCAACAGGGGGCGCUCCUGUCACUUGAAAAUGCUCAGUUGCUGCACAAACUGGACGAACUGCAAAGUUGGUGGCACUGCCUCCUCUCUGGGCCCUGCAGGCUGUUGCCUGUGGGGAGAAAUAUCCAGCCCAAACUGAAAUCCAGAGUGAGCCUCCCAGUCAGAGCGCAGGACUUCAUGGACGGAGGAGCUCAUGGACUGAGAGCAGGG